rnacentral:rRNA from 1 species
AUGUCCGAUGCAAGAGGGUGGCUAGCUUUGCUCGGAUAUUUUGAUUGCAUGCACCGGAGAUGUAAGAACUGCUCAAAAGCUAUGGAAGGGCAAAAUCAAGGCCAUUUUAAGAAGCCCACCAUCAUUCUCGACGCAGUUGUAUUGCAUGAGCUCUGGAUUUGGCACGCUUUCUUUGGCAUGAUCGGGUCUCACAGUGACAUCAAUAUGCUACAGCGAUCUCCAUGGUUUGCUAAGUUGACUGAAGGACAAGCUCCUCCUUCCAACUACACUAGCAAUGGACAUCAUUACAACAUGGGCCACUAUCUGUACACGAUAUCUAUCCUCUGUGGGCUACAUUAG